UCCGUCUUGACGACGGCAGUCUCGCGCGACACAUGUAACGCACGACGAGGGUUGCGCUCGUUCCCGGACUUAACCGAACAGUUCACACCACGAGCUGACGACAACCAUGCAGCACCUGUUCCACGGGCUCCCGAGAGGGCACUUCCACAUUUCUGCAGAAUUCCCGUGGCUUUCAAGACCUGGAUAAGGUUUUUCGUUUGUCGUCGAAUUGAACCUCAUGUUCCACCGCUUGUGCGGGUCCCCGUCUAUUCCUUUGAGUUUUAGCCUUGCGGCCGUACUUCCCAGGCGGCGCACUUACCGCGUUAGCUCCGACACGGAACCGUCAGUGGGUCCCAUGCCUCGUGCGCAUCGUUUACGGCGUGGACUAC
rnacentral:misc_RNA from 1 species